GCAAAUCGCAUCAUUUUUUGCUGUUUGUGUUUGAUAUAAGGGAGAAGAAUCCAUUGUUGCAUAUUAUCGAUAACAACUUUCCAGGCUCACAAUUCAACCAGAAGUAUACUAGGGUCCUCAACUUUGUAAAACGUUUUGUUGCAAGGCUGCUUCAUAAGUAUCAUCACCCGGUUGCUACACAAAUUGAGUCAUUAAAGGCCAGACAAAUGAAAAUCAGGUGGCAUACAAAUAACAACCAUGUUGACUAUGGUAUUUUUGCCAUGCGUCACAUGGAAUGCUAUAUGGGUCAACCUGAUGAGAACUGGAGCUGUGAUCUGCCAAACGAGUCGGGUGAGCAAGUUGUAAAGCUGAGGAGGCUCAGGCAUCGCUAUGCAGCAAAGAUUUUGUCUCACGAGAUGAACAUGCAUUCUAAAAUGAAUUUGGAACAAGCAACGAAGUUCAUCAAUAGUUAUGACACACUUGAAAUUAGAAAGCUUGUUAUUGAAGCUCAAAUAAAUAGGGACCAACGUAAAUUCUAGUCAGACUACUCUUUGAUUCUGUUUAAAAUCAUUUUGUUAUUGAAGUUUCAAAUCUUUUUAAUUAUAUAUUUGAAACUUUUUACUUGAAAA